rnacentral:rRNA from 2 species
GUUGACCUCGGAUCAGGCAGGGAUACCCGCUGAACUUAA